GAUGAACGCUGGCGGCGUGCCUAAUACAUGCAAGUCGAGCGAACAGACGAGGAGCUUGCUCCUCUGACGUUAGCGGCGGACGGGUGAGUAACACGUGGAUAACCUACCUAUAAGACUGGGAUAACUUCGGGAAACCGGAGCUAAUACCGGAUAAUAUAUUGAACCGCAUGGUUCAAUAGUGAAAGACGGUUUUGCUGUCACUUAUAGAUGGAUCCGCGCCGCAUUAGCUAGUUGGUAAGGUAACGGCUUACCAAGGCAACGAUGCGUAGCCGACCCGAGAGGGUGAACGGCCACACUGGAACUGAGACACGGUCCAGACUCCUACGGGAGGCAGCAGUAGGGAAUCUGCCGCAAUGGGGGAAAGCCUGACGGAGCAACGCCGCGUGAGUGAUGAAGGUCUUCGGAUCGUAAAACUCUGUUAUUAGGGAAGAACAAAUGUGUAAGUAACUAUGCACGUCUUGACGGUACCUAAUCAGAAAGCCACGGCUAACUACGUG
rnacentral:rRNA from 1 species